rnacentral:rRNA from 1 species
AUUGAACGCUGGCGGCAUGCCUUACACAUGCAAGUCGAACGGUAACGGGCCUUCGGGUGCCGACGAGUGGCGAACGGGUGAGUAAUGCAUCGGAACGUACCUUUCAGUGGGGGAUAACGUAGCGAAAGUUACGCUAAUACCGCAUAUUCUGUACGCAGGAAAGCAGGGGAUCGCAAGACCUUGCGCUGAUUGAGCGGCCGAUGUCAGAUUAGCUAGUUGGUGAGGUAAAGGCUCACCAAGGCGACGAUCUGUAGCGGGUCUGAGAGGAUGAUCCGCCACACUGGAACUGAGACACGGUCCAGACUCCUACGGGAGGCAGCAGUGGGGGAAUUUUGGACAAUGGGGGCAACCCUGAUCCAGCCAUGCCGCGUGAGUGAAGAAGGCCUCGGUUGUAAG